rnacentral:rRNA from 1 species
CUUAAGUCUGAUGUGAAAGCCCACGGCUCAACCGUGGAGGGUCAUUGGAAACUGGGAAACUUGAGUGCAGAAGAGGAAAGUGGAAUUCCAUGUGUAGCGGUGAAAUGCGCAGAGAUAUGGAGGAACACCAGUGGCGAAGGCGACUUUCUGGUCUGUAACUGACGCUGAUGUGCGAAAGCGUGGGGAUCAAACAGGAUUAGAUACCCUGGUAGUCCACGCCGUAAACGAUGAGUGCUAAGUGUUAGGGGGUUUCCGCCCCUUAGUGCUGCAGCUAACGCAUUAAGCACUCCGCCUGGGGAGUACGACCGCAAGGUUGAAACUCAAGGGAAUUGACGGGGACCCGCACAAGCGGUGGAGCAUGUGGUUUAAUUCGAAGCAACGCGAAGAACCUUACCAAAUCUUGACAUCCUUUGACAACUCUAGAGAUAGAGCCUUCCCCUUCGGGGGACAAAGUGACAGGUGGUGCAUGGUUGUCGUCAGCUCGUGUCGUGAGAUGUUGGGUUAAGUCCCGCAACGAGCGCAACCCUUAAGCUUAGUUGCCAGCAUUAAGUUGGGCACUCUAAGUUGACUGCCGGUGACAAACCGGAGGAAGGUGGGGAUGACGUCAAAUCAUCAUGCCCCUUAUGAUUUGGGCUACACACGUGCUACAAUGGACAAUACAAAGGGCAGCUAAACCGCGAGGUCAUGCAAAUCCCAUAAAGUUGUUCUCAGUUCGGAUUGUAGUCUGCAACUCGACUACAUGAAGCUGGAAUCGC